rnacentral:rRNA from 1 species
CAGCCGCCGCGGGAAUACGUAGGUGGCAAGCGUUGUCCGGAAUUAUUGGGCGUAAAGGGCUCGCAGGCGGUUUCUUAAGUCUGAUGUGAAAGCCCCCGGCUCAACCGGGGAGGGUCAUUGGAAACUGGGAAACUUGAGUGCAGAAGAGGAGAGUGGAAUUCCACGUGUAGCGGUGAAAUGCGUAGAGAUGUGGAGGAACACCAGUGGCGAAGGCGACUCUCUGGUCUGUAACUGACGCUGAGGAGCGAAAGCGUGGGGAGCGAACAGGAUUAGAUACACCGGUAGUCCCUGUCUCUUAUAC